ensembl:lncRNA
GUGGCAGUUAUCGUCUGCGUGUUGCAUACUCUGACAGAACUCAUGGAAAUACACAUCAGAAACUACAGCCGCUAAGAAGAUCCUUAAGCUUGUUCACUCUGAGAACCUGUGGUGUCUUUUUACAAUUACCUUGAAGACUGAUGCCUAUCAGGAGUGAGAUGGAAUUGUUUUCCAGUUGGAUUUUCAAAAAAGUUCCAUUCUUGUUCCAUUUGAGAUUGAGCUAUUGAAUCCAUUUUGAGCUGUUGAAUCCAACUCUUUUAGACAGCAGUUAAUGUGCUAUGAAGUAUAAAGCAUAUUCUGCAUCUUUGAAGGAAGAAUAUUUACAGGAAACAUGCUACACUCUGUUCUUUUUUCUUUAAAUCAAAGAGAAUGAAAACAUUUUAAGUGUUGGAUUGGAGUUCCCCCACUGUUUUUUUUUUUUAUAUCUUCUGAUGUCAAAUCACCUGAGAUCUUUGACUUUUCACUGGAUGUUGUUUAACUUUCUUGCACAUGCUCAGAUGGCAGGUGAUCACGAAUAACUGUGCUUUUGUUCAGCUGCAAUGAGCUACAGUACAUGUUACUGUAUGAAUGGAAAAGUACUAUGGUAGUCAAUGACUACUGUUAACAGUUUGAUUACUAAAACUGAUCAGAAUGUCUUCUUUGGUGUUCAACAGCUAAAAACAAAACCCUCAUAAAGGUUUGGAACGAGUGUAGGGUGAGUCUCUUUAAUUGUCUUGCUCCAAUCAGUGAAUAGAUUGAACCAAAAAGUCACAGUGCUGCAGAACCUUGAAUGACCAAACGCUUAUGUGUUUUUUUAUAUUUUCCUACAGGUUUGUGAAGAUUGAAGACUGGUGCUGAGGUGAUAAACCAAAGCCAGGCCUGCCUCGUUAUUACAUUAUCAGGUAACUUUUAUUUCUUCAACAGUAUUUCAGUAACUUUAAUGACUAUUUUGGCAUAUACUGUGUAUCUCAGCAUGUGUGAGGUGAGUUUGUCUUGUUAAGAUAAAUGAUAUGUUGAUGUGUAUGUUCUUUGUUUAUGGAAAGCUGUUUGUAAAAAUUAUGGCAUUACGUUUGUGGCAAAAAAAAUAACUGCUGCUUUGUACAAUCGUCUAAAUCAGCUGCAUAUAUUCACACAAUUUAAAAGAAUAGGCUUACAUAUGUUAAUGCUGUGUAUUUUAGCUUUGCUGUUCUUUUGUUAAACCCACAUUUAUGAAUCAUGUUUCCUGUAAAUGUUCUCUCUUCAAAGAAAAUUUAAAUAAGUUUAUGAAAAUUAGAUUUCAGUUUCAACCAAGAAUGCCGAUUUUUUAGACCAAUUGGAAGACCCCGUAGGUGAGGUCUAGCUGCAGGCAAGCUUUUGUUUACAGUAGCAAGUUGACAUGACAACUGUUUUAUUUGAAGCCAAACUGGCCCGACCCCACAGACGGUUCAAGAUAGUCCCCUCCACAACACAGGCGCAUUGAUCAAUACUGGCCCAAACCCCACAAAUGGGUCAAGAUUAGGGAUGCACAAUAUUAUCAGAAAGUUAUCAGCAGUGUUGCCAACUUCUUUCAAUUAAAAGUAGCUAAAACUGGUAGCUAAAUGUCACUAGAUGACAUAAUGGCAAAUUCACUGAUCUAUAUAAAGAUGAAGAUGAGAAACUGGAUAAGAUUUGUCCAAGAAGUUGCUAUAUUUGUCCUUAAACUUUUGAAAAAGUCUCAAAAGGGGAAGGGAAGUCACUAAACAUGCUACAAAGUAUCUAAAUUGGAAAUCAACUGAUAAUUGCUUAAAAUGUAAACAUUGGCCAAUGAAAAAAAUAUGCCGAUAUGCCCUGCAGAUAAGACAGAUAGCUCACAUUUACUCAGGGUGUGAUAGUGAUAAGAUUACAUCAGCAGUUUGGUCAUUCUUGCCUGAAUGAUGAUUCACUCAGUUGACAGUUGUUUUGGAUAGUCACAUUUACUUUGAGAUUGCAUGCAGAACGCCACGUCUGGUGUGCAAGAGAGUCAACAAUUUCUUGCAUGUGCAGUAGUAGCAGCAGCGGCACCCAUCCGGUAAGGCGUUUUAUUUACUUAGGGGGUGCUGUUGGCCUACUUGUAAUAAAAUGAAAAUAAAAUAUACAAAUAUCUUUGAUACUUGUGUUUCUGAGUAAAUAAAGCAGUAUCAAUGUCAUAAAGUCAGGAGUCUGUUUUGAUUUAAAGGUCAGAAGCUAUAGGUUACAUAAUAAAAAUCAAAAACAUGUCACUUUAAAUAAUAUAGUAUUUACAGAUAUAUUCAGUAAUAUGUAAUACAUUUUUUUCAAAUGGAUUAUGAAAAUUUAAAUAUAAGGAGCUUUAAAAGAUUUUUUUAGACUUUUUUUUACAGCUCAUUUGCUUUUCAAUUAAUAUUAAAUCUUCAUAUAAAAUGUUAAGGUUUCAACUGCAAAUGAGAAAAAAAAAAAACAGAGAUAGAUUUGAUUACAGUUAUUUUUAAGGCUUUCAAUGUACUCUUAUUAAAAAAGAACUUUAAAGUUUAUUAGGCUACUUCUAACAAAUACAAUUUUGCUCAAAACUAACCAAAACUAAAAAUAAAUAAUUUCUAAUUUCCACACAGGAGAGUCUUGGUGUCAUUUCAAAACAAAGGGAAGUAUAUAUCGGUAUCAGCAUCGGCUAUUGGCCGAAAUGAUUUGAAAAAUAUUUGCAUUUCAAAUAUUGGCAAAAUUCUAAUAUUGUGCAUCCCAUAUUACAAAACUAUGACAUGGGUGUGCAGAGAAACAAAGGAAUAACUGCACAGGUCAGUCGAGAUACUCUUCCCCACGGAGGCCAGUCAGAUUCUCUCUUCUUCAGCAUGUCUUGUGCUUCAUCUGAAUUCACUGAAGUUAAUAUGCCAUUGCUUGGCACUACACCUGAGUCAACUACCAUUGUAACCCAACCGGCUUUGUUUUUUUUAAAGCUACAGCAGUGGUUAACUUGCGUGAAUUGUUUGCUUUUAUCUGUAUUUAUCUUUAUCUGUAUUUAUCCCCAAUUGUAAGUCGCUUUGGAUAAAAGUGUCUGCAAAAUGACUAAAUGUAAAUCUGUACACCAGAUUUUAUCAGGUGCACUUCAGAUUCAUUCAGUUGUACUGAACUUGAUUCGGGUGUUUUCAACAUGGUUGAGCUGGGCUCAGGUGCAUGUCGAAUGUAAAAAAUUUGGAUCAGGUAUUCAGAAGAUUUUAACACUGGGUCUGGGAUGUCAAACACAGUUUUACUGCACAUAUGAUGAUAGAUUUCAUUGAUAAAAGGGAAACAGAAGUGCGUUUCGCUGCACAUACUUUCAUUCCCUUGUGAUAGCUUUCAUGUUGACUUUUUGCUCUUUGUGUAUUGAGAUGUUACUUUCUGGUCAAUAUAUUUAGUCAGUCUACAUUUCUUUUGUGAUUAAUCCUCUGUUAAGUCUAAAUAUUAAUGCGUCGGCAGCCAUAGUGCGCCAGAACAUCCACCACACACCAGCUUAUUGGUGGAGAGGAGACAGAGUGAGGAAACCAAUCAGUAGAUAUGGGGGCCACUGGGCAAAUUUGUCCAGGAUGUCAAGGUCACACCUCUGCUCUCUUCGAAAUAUAUCCUGGGACCACAGAGAGUCAGGACCUGGGUUAAAUGUCUUAUCUGCAGGACACAUUUAAUUUUAACAACAGUAUUUCAUUAUCUUUAAUAUGCACAUAAUGCGUUUCUCAGCAUGUGUGAAUGAGGUGAGUUUGUCUUGUUUCUGCUCCAGUGAUGUGGUACUGUAAAUUAUUGACUGGAACUUUCCAGAAGCUUCUGUGAAGGCCUACGCAGGAACAACACAUUGAAGACCCCUACGCAGGAAGGAGUUUUCUAUCACAUCAUACAGUGCUAAAGAGAGCCGCUCUGCCUCACAAACACAGCCAAUUUGGUGGCCAUGAUUGUUCUCACUCUGUAGUGCCCUCGGAGCAACCUAAUGGCUUUACCAUGUUUUGCUACAUGAGUUUAUUAACUACUAGAAGUGAGGUGGCGACCUCUAGUGGCUGGAUGUGAUUUACUACAUUUAAAACAACUUCUGUGUUUCACAAAUAAAUGGAACAACAUGAGGGAGAGUAAAUGAUUCAUGAAAUGCACCCAAUGUAAUGUUUGUGCCACAGCUGCCCUAAACUAACAGUAUCACCAAAAUCAGUUUUUAUGUUUCUGUAAUGGUUAAUC